UACGUAGGGCGCAAGCGUUAUCCGGAAUUAUUGGGCGUAAAGAGCUCGUAGGCGGUUUGUCGCGUCUGCCGUGAAAGUCCGGGGCUCAACUCCGGAUCUGCGGUGGGUACGGGCAGACUAGAGUGAUGUAGGGGAGACUGGAAUUCCUGGUGUAGCGGUGAAAUGCGCAGAUAUCAGGAGGAACACCGGUGGUGUAGACGGCUCUCUGGACCGUAACUGACGCUGAGGCACGAAAGCGUGGGUAGCAAACAGG
rnacentral:rRNA from 1 species